AGGCAUUUGCUUCAGGUGAGCAGAGGGAUGACUUUCUGUCCCACAUCUGUGAAGAUCAGCUGUUGGUUUACAUUGCCAGGGUGAAAUUCAACAGAACUAAUUUAGGGUGAAGAUCUUGAGGCCCACAAGGAAUUUCCUUGUGGGAAAAUUGUGAGGAAGGUAAGUAGCUUUUAAAAAUCUUUGUAGCUAUCUUCUUCAGGAAGGAAAUGGGUGGUGGGUUUGCCCAACAUGGUUUCCAGCUUGACUUUUCCCUUUGGCCUAGUGAUUUUGGGGUCCCAAGAUUUAUUUCCCUUUCACAAAAUGAUUAACAGUGAUUAUUCUAGAGCAGUGGUUUUGCAGGGGCGAUUUUUGCCUCCUACGGGACAUUUGGCAAUGUCUGGAGUCAUUUUCUUGGUUGUCACGGGGCGGGGAGGGGGGUGCCACUGGCAUUGAGUGGCUAGAGGCCAGGAAUGCUUCUAAACAUUCUACAGUGCACAGGUCAGCCCACGACAAAAAAAAGAAAAAAGUUUGGCCCAAGAUGUCAAUAGUGCUGAGGCUGAGGAAUCGCUGAGAGGUUUAAGAGGUUGAGCGCUCUCAAAUGUGGGGAAGAAGACUUAUUUUUCAUAUAAUGCUUCUCUGAUGCUUGCAUUACAUUAAUAGCAACAGCUACAAAAUCUGCCCACUCUUAGCUAUGAGCUAAUGCGUGUAAGAUGCCAGCAUAUAGUAGGUGCUCACAAGGUGUUCCUUUCUUGCUGCGCUCUGGCUUUCACAUCUGCAGAAAUGGGUGUGCCAACACCUGCUCUGGGGGUGGCUGCAAGGCUCAUUUUAGGCUACAGUUCAGGCCCUGACCACCUGGCUCUGGGUGCAGCUGUUAAAAGCGUCACCAACCUGCCCGGGGGCAGCUUCCCAUAUCCCUUCCUCUGCCACUGGUUAUUCUGCUGAAGUUCAAGGGCCCCCAGCUGCUUCUCAAAGCAGGAACACUUCUGCAAAACACAUCCUGAAUUUGAAUAGCCAUGUUGCUGUGUCUCUGACAGACAGGGCUGCCAGAUAAAAUUCAGGACAUCCAGUUAAAUGUCUCAUGCAAUAUUUGGUAUAUACUUAUACUAAAGAAUUAUUCAUUAUCUGGAAUUCAAAUUAAAUUGAAUCCAUAUGUAUAUAGCUGUUGUUGUUGCUGUUUUAAUCUGGCAGCUCUACUGUCCAAGCAAGGUAGAGAUGAACUGUGUGCUCUUUUCCAAGGAGCUAAUCUCAUCAGAUAGAGAUUUUGCUUUUGUUCCAUCAAAAGUCUUGCUCACUUACCAAGGGAGCUUGGAUCCUGCUGGGAGACUAAGAUGGUCACUGCCUCUGACAAUUUCGUAAAAAUCUCAGGCUCCUGGGGCUUAUUCAGGCAAGUUGGGAGGGACGUUUCUGAAACACGUUUGGCCCGGUCAUUACGGAGGAGGAGGGAUUGAGAGCAGAAAGCAGAAGCGAAUGGAAUUCAGGCCUCAGGAUGCCUCCCCGGCAUAGGCCCCAUCAGAAGCCCUAUUGUAUGUUUGUAAGUUCAGAGGCUCCUUCUUAAAGAGGCGCUACACACUGUAUGAGCCCCAGGGUCCACCAAGUCUGGGGUCUGGUCCUGGCUGAGAGGGCAGUGCACUGAAGCUGUUUAUCCAGUACCUGCUACGUGCCCAGCCAUGAGCACACUCCUGGGCCAGCAUCCUGGGCUAGGGCUCACUGUGGGUAUUCUACAAAGGGGGAAACCAAGGCUCGGAGUGGUGGAGUAACUCCCCCAAUGCCACCCAGCUGGGAAGUGGCAGAAAAAAAAAAAAAAAGGAUUUGAACCUGGGUUGAGUUUCCUCUUUGCUGGGAACAGCACCUCAGGGCCCUGGUUCCUUGGGGCCGGUUGAAA
rnacentral:lncRNA from 1 species